rnacentral:rRNA from 1 species
UGAGGAAUAUUGGUCAAUGGGCGCAAGCCUGAACCAGCCAUGCCGCGUGCAGGAAGAAGGUCCUAUGGAUUGUAAACUGCUUUUAUCAGGGAAUAAACCUCUUUACGUGUAGAGAGCUGAAGGUACCUGAUGAAUAAGCACCGGCUAACUCCGUGCCAGCAGCCGCGGUAAUACGGAGGGUGCAAGCGUUAUCCGGAAUCAUUGGGUUUAAAGGGUCCGCAGGCGGAAAAAUAAGUCAGUGGUGAAAUCUCACAGCUCAACUGUGAAACUGCCAUUGAUACUGUUUUUCUUGAAUUCGAUCGAAGUGGGCGGAAUGUGACAUGUAGCGGUGAAAUGCUUAGAUAUGUCACAGAACACCGAUAGCGAAGGCAGCUCACUAGGUCUGGAUUGACGCUCAGGGACGAAAGCGUGGGGAGCAAACAG